rnacentral:tRNA from 4 species
AGGAGUGUAGCUCAAUUGGCUAGAGCGUCGGUCUCCAAAACCGAAGGUUGGGGGUUCGAGACCCUCCACUCCUGCCA